AGAUUAAGUUAUUAAGGGCGCACGGUGGAUGCCUUGGCACUAGAAGCCGAUGAAGGACGUUACUAACGACGAUAUGCUUUGGGGAGCUGUAAGUAAGCUUUGAUCCAGAGAUUUCCGAAUGGGGAAACCCAGCAUGAGUUAUGUCAUGUUAUCGAUAUGUGAAUACAUAGCAUAUCAGAAGGCACACCCGGAGAACUGAAACAUCUUAGUACCCGGAGGAAGAGAAAGAAAAUUCGAUUCCCUUAGUAGCGGCGAGCGAAACGGGAAGAGCCCAAACCAACAAGCUUGCUUGUUGGGGUUGUAGGACACUCUAUACGGAGUUACAAAGGACGACAUUAGACGAAUCAUCUGGAAAGAUGAAUCAAAGAAGGUAAUAAUCCUGUAGUCGAAAAUGUUGUCUCUCUUGAGUGGAUCCUGAGUACGACGGAGCACGUGAAAUUCCGUCGGAAUCUGGGAGGACCAUCUCCUAAGGCUAAAUACUCUCUAGUGACCGAUAGUGAACCAGUACCGUGAGGGAAAGGUGAAAAGCACCCCGGAAGGGGAGUGAAAUAGAACCUGAAACCGUGUGCUUACAAGUAGUCAGAGCCCGUUAAUGGGUGAUGGCGUGCCUUUUGUAGAAUGAACCGGCGAGUUACGAUUUGAUGCAAGGUUAAGCAGUAAAUGUGGAGCCGUAGCGAAAGCGAGUCUGAAUAGGGCGUUUAGUAUUUGGUCGUAGACCCGAAACCAGGUGAUCUACCCUUGGUCAGGUUGAAGUUCAGGUAACACUGAAUGGAGGACCGAACCGACUUACGUUGAAAAGUGAGCGGAUGAA
rnacentral:rRNA from 1 species